AGAGGGCUGAUGGCGGAGGUUAGGGGGCUGAGAAAGGACCUUGCCGGGGCUUUCAGCCACGUGUGGUGCUGGCCAGAUCAGGGCACCUGCCACUGGCAAAGAACAAGGGCAGGCGACUGGAUGGUCAGAAGGAACCGGGUCAUCUAGCAGGUGGUUCCAGAUGGCAAUGAGAAAGGACGCCGUGGGAGUCUUUCAGAGCCCAGUGAUGCUCGUUCUGGCUCGCGCUCUCUCUCCAGACACUUCUCCCAACUCCCAGGCAGCAUAGCCUCUCCCUGACUGCCAAGGAAGCUUCGGGAGGCCCGGGGGAGAAGGAGGACGGAUGCCCAUGUGGGUGUCUACAGGGCUCUGCCUGCCAGGGCUGCCUUGGGGGAGCAGAGUUCUGCAGCUCAGGAAACUUCCUAUUUGGGAGCUUGUGACCUCGACCAGAGAAGGAACCGUUCCUCCAGGACAGUGGCUGGUCUCUGCACACCACCCCAGGGAGAGGCAGGCUGGGAGCCCACAGGCCUGGGCGAGGCUGCCUCGCCCCCAACACCUACUCUGCUGGAGGGAGGUAAACUGAGGCCCACAAAAGGAAGAAAUGGCCAGUGCACCGGAACCUGGGUCUGGUGACUUCCAUGAAGAGAAAUGAGGCAGAACAACCCCCCAAGAAGACUGGGAGGAUGUCGUUCCCGAGCGCGCUCAGCAGGAGGCGCUGCACUCACCCACCACGCG